UAUAGACAUAUAGUCAUAAUCAUAUUACAAUUGUUUGUUAGCUUUUUCCAUUUAAAAGUUACUACAAACAAAGAUGAGUAUAGACGUAUAGUCAUAAUCAUAUUACAAUUGUUUACAAGGGAGCCCUUAUUUUUAAAUGCUAAAAGACAAAAACAUCUGUGAUAUUUUUUCCAAGUUCCUCUUGGAUUUCGUGAUUGUUUACAAAAAAAAAAGAAAAAAAAAAUACUGAAUUACUGAGAAAUAUUCCUCUCUCCUGCUUUCUCAUCGAAGCCUACUCCACAAUCUCCAUUGAAGCAGCUUCUGAGAGAGGGAUUUAAGAGAGAGAAAAUUCGCAUCAAAGUUCAAAGAUGCAUUCUUUUGCAAACAGAGCUACUGCGCUGCUAACUCUAGCAGUCACCAUUCUUGCAAUCACGUGCGCUGCCGCUUCUAUUUUCGACAAUUUCAAUUCCCCUUCUCCUAUUGCCAACAUUAAGGUGGCCAACAUUCAUAGAUUUCAAAAACUCUCCAGGCAAUUGCGAGGUAAUUUUUUUAAUCUAAUUUACUAGGUCUUUAAUUUUGUUUUAGGGUUUUCUUAUUUAAUGCGAAGUAUGAAUUUUACAUCUGGGUAAUUGAUGUGCAUUUCUUUGAAGUAAUUUUUUUUACAAAAAUCCGUUCUAGUCUGCGUUUUUAUAUGAUUGCAUUUGAGGGUUUAUGUAUAUAAUUUUUAAGUUGAUUUUGCUAAUGCAGUUCUAUAUGAAUUUAUAAAGGUGUAAUAAUAUGCAUAUAUUUUACAAAUGAUUUACUGCACAAUGCUAUAUAAAAAGUGUGGUCGAGCUGCAUUUAUAUAAUGUUAUUAGUUUAUUACUAAAAGCUAGUUUGGUCACUGUAACUGAUCAAUUGCAGUGCAAUUGCCCUUACAUGUUUGAGAACUCGAGGUAUUGUAACGUAGUAAUUUUACCCUCUAGUUAUGUAUUAGGAAGGAUAUGCUUGCACAAUCAAAGAUUGAUAAUGUUCUUCUUAUGAUAUUUGUAGCGACCCUCUCGCACCUUGUUGAUCCAUGUUAAGGAUCAUUGAUGGAAUUUCAGGGUGGUCUUCAACGAUCAUCAAGGCUAGGUGUGGAUUAAGUAAAUUGAACGUUGUGUUCUUGAUAUGUUCAUUUUAUAUGGUGUUUUACCCCCGUCACUUGGUCAUAUUUGAGAGUAUUCUUGGCUCUUUAGAGACACUCUUAUUACUAAUAUGUGUUUUCUAGUGUUUUCGUAGAUUUGGCAUUGUUUUAUAGGAUGUUGCAGAUUUGGAGCAUUUUCCUAGACUUAUUUGAGCCACUACGAGCAUUAGAGUAGGAUCACAUUCAUAUGACCACAUUCCGAAGCCCAAGGCCGGUUAGAGUUAUCAAACCGGUGAUUAAGGGCUCAGUGAAAAAGAAGAGUUCGAGGCAAUGGGCCGAGCUUUAAGGCCCCAAAGAGGAAAUGCGAAUCGGACUAAGAAAUAGCCUAAUUGAAGAAGUCCAUGAUGCCCAAGAGCUCGUCCGACCGGGGAGUGCCCUCGCCUUAAGGGGCGCCCGGUCGGGUCAGAAGGAAGGGAAGCAGUCCUUCUCCUUGUCUCGCGCCCGACCGGGCGCGAGUGAAGAUCAUCUCACCAAAAAUGCGGGCCCGGCUGUGCAAAGCUUCGCCCGACCGGGCGUGUGUUUUUAGGAGGAUUUCGACGAUUAUAAUUUGUUUUUAUAUAGGAUUUUUGUGCUUAAGUAUAAAUAUGUUUUAGUUAAGUUAGAUAGGGGGAUGUCUUCUCAUUAGUUAAUUCUCAGUUUUUAGUUUUAGGCUUUUAGUUAAUACUCUUAUUAUCUCUCUCUACACCAUGAGUUUUAUGCAAUUCAUUAUUUCCAUUUA